UCUAAUGCAAACCCUGGCCUAGAUUCUGUGUUACCCCAGCAGAAACUAGAUUGCAUGUAUUUCUCUUCUUCUCUUGUUCGCAAACUGAUAGAUAGUUGCUAAGAGUGUAAGCCAUGGACGUGCUCUUGCUUUCUUCACCAGCAACCCCACGUUUAGCUUCCUCUCUUAGACCCUCUCUCCGUUCUUCUAAAUCCCAUCCUCUUCCUUUCACUUUCAAUCCAAUCUCUUCUCCCAUAAAAAAUUUCCCAUCUCGCAAAACCUCCCUUCAAUCUUCCAAAACCCUAACUCCCCAAUUCUCGGCUCCCCAGACACCAGCCACCGCCAUGAGGGGAGCGGAGGCCGAUGCCAUGGGGCUUUUGCUGAGGGAGAGGAUUGUGUUCUUGGGGAACAAUAUUGAUGACUUCGUGGCUGAUGCUAUUCUCAGUCAAUUGUUGCUUUUGGAUGCUCAAGACCCAACUAAAGAUAUCCGCCUCUUUAUCAAUUGUCCUGGAGGCUCUCUCAGUGCUACAAUGGCAAUCUAUGACGUGUUGCAACUUGUGAGAGCUGAUGUUUCCACAGUUGCCCUUGGCAUCUCAGCAUCAACAGCUUCUAUAAUCCUUGGUGGUGGCACAAAAGGCAAACGCUUUGCAAUGCCAAACGCAAGGAUCAUGAUUCAUCAGCCUCUUGGAGGCGCUAGUGGGCAAGCAAUAGAUGUGGAGAUUCAAGCGCGGGAAAUUAUGCAUAACAAAAAUAAUAUCAUCAGAAUUAUUUCAGGUUUCACUGGUCGCACAACUGAACAAGUUCAAAAGGACAUUGAUAGAGAUCGUUAUAUGUCUCCAAUAGAAGCUGUUGAAUAUGGAAUAAUUGAUGGGGUUAUUGACAGAGAUAGCAUCAUUCCUUUGGCUCCUGUACCAGAAAGGGUAAAACCAACGCUAAAUUAUGAGGAAAUGCGUAAAGAUCCAAUGAAAUUCCUGACGCCGGAUGUCCCUGACGAUGAGAUAUACUAGCUUGUGCCAUUUGAGACAAGGUACCUUAUUGUUCCACGAAAAGUUAGUUGUUAAACUUUGACUAUUAGAUGCAAUAACUUGGGGGCCAUAUACUUCUUCCCAAACCAGGAUUCUUUGGAAGAGUGAGAAUAAUAUUGAACUGAUUUUCAAACUUAUUUUGCAUUUUACAAGCAAUUAUUUGUCUCUUUCUCCUUGUAUAUUGAAAUGUACAUUGUGGUGUUUCUGCAGACAGGCCCUCAUUGUAUUUUGUUCAUAAAAAGAGCUGAAAGGUUUGUGAGAAACCUCCUACCAAAUGCAUUUGAGAGAUAUUUUGCAGAUAAAAUUGCUUUCAAAGAAGCUACUGGACAGGCCAGCAGGAUAGCUAGAUUGCAGAACUUGAAUGGGGCCCUUGUAAGCUUCGUUGUACACUUUUUAAUUUAUUGGAAACUUGACCGUUGAAUUGAUCUUGAAAGACAAUGUGGGAUUAUUAGGAUAAAAUUUCACCUCCAAGCAGUGUGCAAUUUCUUUCUUCUCAUAGUUGAUUGAGAAUUAGAUUUAACGUGGUGCUUUCCUACAUAAUUUGUAGUUUCCUUUUUGUAUUGUGCUGCUCUGAGUCCUGUAUUUCCAACAUUUGCGGUUGAAAUAAAAAAGAAAAAAAUACUUUUU
rnacentral:misc_RNA from 1 species